AAGGCCUUAGUUUAACAAAGACAUCUGAUUUGCAUUCAGAAGAUGCAAGAUAAACUCUUGUAGGUCUUA
rnacentral:tRNA from 2 species